rnacentral:tRNA from 1 species
GCUUCCAUAGCUCAGCUCGGUAGAGCACUUCCAUGGUAAGGAAGAGGUCGCCGGUUCAAGUCCGGCUGGGAGCU